rnacentral:tRNA from 1 species
ACCUGGCUGGUUCAGUCAGUACAGCAUGUGACUCCUGAUCUCAGGGUCGUGAGUUUGAGCCUCACGUUGGGCA